rnacentral:tRNA from 1 species
AUUAUUUUGGCAGAUUAGUGCAUUAAAUUUAGAAUUUAAUUAUGUAAUUUAUUUAUUACAAAUAAUA